GAGAAUUGAAAGCAGUAGCUUUCAAUCAAAUUGCUCUCUCUCUCUCUCUCUCUCUCUCUCUCUCUCUCUCUCUCUCUCUCUCUUUCUUAGGAUUUUAAAAGAAUGCUGGCCUGGGCAGCCAAGGCUCUCUCCUAAACUCUUCCACUGUUUUUCUUUGCUCUCUGAUGUUUUGAGAUGAAACCUGUUUUCUGAGAGUGUUUUCAUCUCUCCUUCUGCCCCUUCCUGGCCUUAGAGAAUUCCGAGACCUAUGGGCCCAGGACAAGUGCCAGCAAGCCUGUGCGUUCAUCUGCCAGGCUCCUGCAUGCCUGCUCUGCCAUGCUUUCUACAGUCAACUCAGAGCCCCAUGAGAACAUUCUAACAUGGGCACUGCAUGAGAGAGCUACAUCAGAAACAGCUUGGGGCCCAGAGAAGAAAGGCAGUGACUGCCAGCCCCCAAGGAGCCCAGCAUCACUUCCAACAUUGUCUGUCACUCCAAGUGGUCACAGGCUACCCACACUGAAGGGGAAAAGGAAAAGAUGGAUGCUAUUGAUCAGCAGCAGGGACACUACCGAAUUUGUAACCAUCCCCAGUCUGCUAUCAGGUUGUCUGUGCUGUGUAUUUUGACCACACCAGUAGAAAAGUAAUUUGGACACACACAGUGGUCCUGGUAUGAGAUUUUCUUCAGACUGACUCAUGCAGCUGUCACUUCUGGCUUCAAAUUUGGACAACUGCAGGUAACAUUUUGGAGAACUUAAAAAGAAGCCAUUGCUGUGCUCCAUUCCCUGCCACCCUCCAAAACAACUUCAGAAACUAUUUCAGACAUUUGUUGCAAGCAUAAUGGCUGGAAUACGACUUGUUCCCUACUGCCUGGAUUUCCAAGUUGGAUUCCACCACCCCUCUCAUUGGCACCCACUUUCUAGUUUUUAAAAUGGUAUUUCAGUGGCAGGAGCUGCUGAUUUGACCCAAAGGAUUAGGCUCCUCUGAGCAUAAUCAGAUUUUGUCAGAUGGUCGGACCUGGUUGCUGUGGGGAUGAAUAGCAAGGAUCAAAUCCCUCAUAUGACAAAAGAGAGGGUGUAGACUGAGCGGCUCUUCCCUCUGAACUCCUUUCUUCCUUAGAGCGAGCCUUGAGCCUGUUCACUGAGAAGCCGAGCGGGGAUACUUAGAGCUGACAGACAGGUCCCCUUCUUCUUGGCACCUGGGACCUAUAGAGAGGAGAAGCACGCUGGAACAACAAAACCACACGCCAUGAAUCAGAAGAGUAGCUCGCAGGGAGGCCAUGUGGACUGUGUGCCCUCUCCACAGGAUAAGGGUACCUCGUAAGUCCAGAUCAGCCUGUAUAUAUGUACAUUUUGGUGUGUAUAUAUGUAAAAAGCAUAUAUGUAGAAAGUAUAUAUGUAUAAAAGCAUGUAUAUGUAUAAUACACAUACAUAUAUCACAUGCUAUCAUUAUAUACUUUGGUAUGUAUGUGCACACUCUGUAUACAUAUAUGUAUAUGCCUAUGUGUAUGUAUUAUUCUGCACACUCUGUAAACAUAUGUAUAUGCAUAUCUACAUAUAUGUAUUCUCCCCUUAUAUAUAUUCUAUGUGCACACAUGUACUUGCACACUUUCCCUUGCACACUGUGGCUAGUUUAAGAAGAAAGAGAAUGCAAUGAAGGAAUGAAAAAGAAGUACAAGUCAGAAGACAAGGACAGAGCAGGGUCAUAGGAUAUGUAGGACACAUCAUUUUCCAUAUAAAGCCUCCUGGAAUCAUGUACUCCCCACGGUGAAUUAGGCUCCUGGGUCUCCUGGUGACGAGGAGUCUCACCAGUGCAGUGUAGGUGAGACUGAGGUGUAUGAUACCUGCCUCAUCAGCUUUCAAUAAAACUGUCUGCUCC
rnacentral:lncRNA from 1 species